rnacentral:rRNA from 1 species
GACGAACGCUGGCGGCGUGCCUAACACAUGCAAGUCGAACGGAGUAAGGCCCUUCGGGACCUUACUUAGUGGCGAACGGGUGAGUAACGCGUGAGGAACCUGCCUUUCAGUGGGGGACAACAGUUGGAAACGACUGCUAAUACCGCAUAAUGCUUUUGAGUGGCAUCACUUAAAAGUCAAAGAUUUAUUGCUGAAAGAUGGCCUCGCGUCUGAAUAGCUGGUUGGCGGGGUAACGGCCCACCAAGGCGACGAUCAGUAGCCGGUCUGAGAGGAUGAACGGCCACAUUGGGACUGAGAUACGGCCCAGACUCCUACGGGAGGCAGCAGUGGGGAAUAUUGGGCAAUGGGGGAAACCCUGACCCAGCAACGCCGCGUGAAGGAAGAAGGCCUUCGGGUUGUAAACUUCUUUUACCAGGGGCGAAAGAAAUGACGGUACCUGGAGAAAAAGCAACGGCUAACUACGUGCCAGCCGCCGCGGUAACAC